rnacentral:miRNA from 1 species
UUGGCAGUCAAGAUAUUGUUUAGC